rnacentral:pre_miRNA from 1 species
AUUUUACUCCCUCCGUCCGAAAAUACUUGUCAUCAAAAUGAAUAAAAAGAGAUGUAUCUAGAACUAAAAUACAUCUAGAUACAUCCCCUUUUAUCCAUUUUGAUGACAAGUAUUUCCGGACGGAGGGAGUAGUUG